AAUUGAUUAAACACUAUACAAUUGAAUAGCGGGAAUUAAAAUUAAUAGCUCCGCCUGAAAAUUAAGAUUGGGGGUAAAUUUUUGCGAAAUCUAAAAAUUGGGAAAUUUUUUGCCUCACUCUCGUCUCUUUGGUCACUUAGCGUCUCUUGCUCACAGGUAAAGAGAGAGACAAACAAUUUUCUAACUUUCAUUCGACUCUCACUAAAUCUCUCCUAUUCUUCUCACUCUCCCUAGUCCUUAGUCGCAAUAUUCUUGUAAUGAUUCUCUUCUCUCUCAAGAAGUCCGGUUUGUGUCGUCCUUCUUACAGAUCCAAUUCCACCAUCUCUCUCUCUGAUCUACUUUUUUUCCAGAUCUCAUCACCAUUCAGUCUCUAUCGCCGAACCAAUUGAAGAAGAUAUCGCAAGAGACGAUUCGCUAGGGAUCUCCUUCGUCAUGCCAUCUUCAUAUGCGUAAAUCCAUCACUGUCCUUGGUCUGUCGCUGUUUCCACAUCUUAGUCGGUGAGUUUGUUCCUAAUUCUUAGGGUUCACCGAUUUGUGUAUGUCAUUCAUAUAUUAUUAUGAUUUUGUUAAUCCUUCGUGUUGGGGUUUUUCCUAAUUUAAUGUAAGGAUGGUUUUGGGAAAUCCUUUUCGGCGAGGCUUUUCGAUGGUGGAAGGGAGGAACGGUAUGGUGAGAAUUGAACAUCAGAUCGUGAAGACGGUUGCAUAUAUAGUUGAGGUGAAGUCAGAUUCGAGAUUGGGACUACUUUUUGUGACUGAAUUUUUAGUCGCAAACUUUUGUGACCGUUUGGUGACAUAUUUGCGACGUACUCACGACGAAGAAUAUUCUGGACGUAAAUGAGUCGCAAAUUUACGACACCCAAAUACAGUUGCAACACCGUUGCUAUUAUGCGACUGAUUUGAAACAAUUUAUCGACAAUAAAGAGUUAGUCGCAAAAUAAUCGCAAUUGAUGACGAAUUAAAGACUGAUGAUUUAGUCGGCAACACGCGUCGCAAAUAUGUCUUAAAAGCACGACGUAUUUGCCACUUAUAUUUUGCUUUAACAUUGAUAGUUACAAAUCAGUCGGUAAAUGAUGUCGGUAACAAACGUGGUAAAUGUGGAAGUUUUGCAUUUGUACUGAACAUUUGCGACCUUUAUUUUGUCUCUAUUAUGUUGUUACAGAGUGGUAAAGUAGUCGUAGUUUACGACUCUUUUAUUUGUAGUCGCAAAUGCAACGCAAAGAAGUUGGUCAGUGAUGUCGGUAAAUAACGUGGUAAAUGUUGAAGUUUGCUUUUGUACUGAAUUUUUGUGACCUUUAUUUUGCCUCUAUGUGGUUAACGAGUGACAAAAGAGUCGUAAUUUGUGACCGUUUCACUGGUAGUUGCAAAGGAGUUGCAAAGUUUAUACUAUAUAUAACAUAUCACUCUCACCAUUCCAUUCAUAUCACUCUCAUUAGUGUGUAAGUAGAAAGAGGAAAGAAAAAAAAGUCAGAAAAAAAAAAGAAGAGUGAUUUUUUUAGAGGAGAAGAAAAAAAAAAGAAAAAAGAGUUUUUGUUGUAGAGGGAAAGAAAAAAAAAGUGAUUUUUAAAAAAGAGUGGUGAAAAAACUACGUGGAAUUCAACUCGAGAGUGGAUGUAUAAUCGGAUCGACGGAAGAACAAAUAAUAUCUCUAAAACUUUUUUGGCAGGGGUGGAGCAGUUCAUAAAUUUCGCAAACAGCCAGCCUUUAGCACAAAACAGUAGAGGUAGGUUUUAUUGUCCUUGCGUAAAAUGUCAGAAUGAUGUUAUUUUGCAUGGUACGACAAUAUCUAAUCUUUUGUAUAGUAAAGGAUUUAUGUCAAAUUAUUAUGUAUGGUCUGAACAUGGAGAAGAUUAUAAUGUGCUAGGGGUAGGAACCAGUAAUCAUUAUCCUAAUACAGGUUAUACUAGUACUGGUAGUCAUCAUGGUAGUCAACCAAUAGGAUUUGAGGGAAAUGUAUAUGCUGAGAUGGUGAAUGAUGCAUUCAUGGUACCACACCUUUUAAUGAGUAUCAUGAAUAUGAAAGUGGAUAUGAUCAUAUUCAAGAAGAACCUACUCAAGAGGCGAAACGGUUCUACGACAUGUUAGAUGCUGCAAAUACUCCACUUUAUGAUGGAUGUCAUGAAGGUCAUUCGCAACUAUCGUUGGCGUCUAGGUUCAUGAACAUCAAGGUAGACUAUAAUUUGUCUGAGGCAUCCAUGGACGAUUGGGCUGAAUUGUUUACGGAGGUUUUACCAGAGGGUAAUCAAGCUACUGGUUCAUACUACAAGACAGAGACUUUAGUGCGAAAGAUAGGAUUGCCAUACCGUACAAUUGAUGUAUGUAUAGAGAAUUGUAUGCUCUUCUGAAAAGAAGAUGGGAAUUUGGAUCAUUGCAAGUUCUGUAGAAAACCAAGGUACAAAACUAGUGAGGGAAGAACUAGAAUACCCUUCAUUUGUAUGUGGUAUCUACCUAUUGCUGAUAGAUUGAAGAGGAUGUACCAAUCAGAGAAGACCGCAUCAUCAAUGAGAUGGCAUGCUGAGCAUGAUUCAGAAGAUGGAGUAAUGUGUCAUCCAUCUAAUGCGCCAGAAUGGAAGAAUUUCCAACAUUUACAUCCCACAUUUGCAAAAGAAAAGCAAAACGUUUACCUUGGGUUAUGUACAGAUGGUUUUAAUCCGUUUGGGAUGUCCAAAAAUCAUUCUUUGUGGCCUGUGAUCUUAACUCCAUACAACCUACCUCCAGAUACGUGCAUGAACAGCGAGUAUUUAUUUCUUACGAUUCUGAACUCCGGACCAAACCACCCACGAGCCAACCUUGAUGUUUUCCUCCAACUAUUAAUCGAUGAGUUAAAGGAGUUAUGGUAUAAUGGGGUUGAGGCUUAUGAUAUCUCACUAAAUGAAAAUUUCAACAUGAAAGUUGUUCUUAUGUGGACAAUAAGCGAUUUUCCAGCGUACGAUAUGUUGUCGGGAUGGACUACACAUGGAAGAUUAGCAUGUCCAAUUUGUAUGGAUGACACUGGUGCUUUUCAAUUACCAUCUGGGAGGAAAACAUGUUGGUUUGACUGUCAUAGGAGAUUUCUUCCUACAAGUCAUCCGGUGCGGAAGAAUAAAAAGGACUUUUUGAAGGGAAAACAUUCAUUGAAUGACUAUCCACCUGCAUCUCUAACUAGUCAAGCUAUAUAUGAGCGUAUAAGGAAAGCCAAAGCACCUAAAACAUCUGUCUGCGGUGGGAAUGGUCACGAAAAGAAAGUUAAAGGCUACGGAAGAUGGCAUAAUUGGCAUAAAGAAAGCAUAUUGUGGCAGUUACUGUACUGGGUCGAUCUGAAUUUAAGGCACAACCUGGAUUUGAUGCACAUCGAGAAAAAUGUCUUUGAUAACUUGAUGUACACUGCUAUGAAUAUAAAAGACAGAUCGAAAGACAACGUGAAGUCAAGAUUAGAUAUUGCAAGAUUUUGUUGCCGGCAAGAUUUACAUCUGGAUGCUCAAGGGAGAGCCCCAUUUCCUAUUUGGAGAUUGAAAACCAAAGCGAAAGAGGCUUUAUUAAAAUGGGUAAAAGAAGAUGUUAGAUUCCCAAACGACAACACGUCAACAAUGCCUCCAGUCACAUGAGAGAUUGUUGGAGGCGCAAAUUCGAUAUGAAUAUCCAGGACUAUCUGAUGAAGAUGUGAGGUUGAAAAGAGAUGAAGAUUUCCAUGACUGGAUUAAGCAAUAUAUCACACUUUUCUAUUGUGAAUGGUAUGACCCUACAAUUAACAAAGGCACUCGAAUACGUGAUGGAGGCAUUGUUGACGUGUUGUCGUCAAGGAGAUACCAACAUUAUGAACCAUUUAUAUUAGGUUCUCAAGCUGAUCAAGUUUGUUAUUUUUCAUAUCCUCACACUAAACGACCUCGAAAACUUUGGCUCAACGUUGUGAAAGUUAAUCCAAGGCAUGCUGUACAAGGAAAUUUAAAAGAAAAGGAGGUUGUUAUAUUGCAGCAAACAGUUGAUGAUGGAAUGACAUAUACAAUAGAGGAGAUCAUAAUUGAUAAUUUCGUAGAUGGUAAUCAUCCUAAUGAAGAAAUUGAUUUUGAAAUCAACGACGCUGAUCUAGAAGACAAAUUUUGUGGUAACUACUCGUCGUCGUCUUCAGAUGAGGAUGAACACAAUGAAAAUGAAAAUGAGGAGGCUACGCCCUUACACAUACGAGAGAGAUAUUUAGAUCCUUUGCGCGGAAAUACAACUGGGAUGUUGCGAUUACUGAGCUUGUGAGAGAAGGAUUUUUGAAGAUAGCGAAAAAAGAAUGAAAUGAAUUGUAAGCCAAGCAAAGACGCAUGCUGAGCCACCGAUUUGGAUCAAUCCUACGCUUUGGAGACAAAUGUGAGAGCAUUGGGACACACCCGAAGCUAAGGAGAAGAGCUCUAAUGCAUCCCAAGCCCGUACUUCUGAUCGUGGCGGUCUUGGACUCCACAAACAUCUAUCCGGCCAGAAAUCUUACUUGCAGAUUCAACAAGAGAUGGAAGAAAAAUUGGGACGUCCUGUCUCGCUUGGAGAGGUGUUUGUCGCAACACAUACGAAGGCAGAUGGAAGUUUUGUUGAUCAGAAGGCCAAACAAGUUGUUGAGACAUAUGAGAAGAACAUAGAAGAGGUAAUGUCUCAAAUGGAUUUUGAUGGUACAGACCACUCCUCGCCGGAAUCUACUUAUGCAACCAUUCAACAAAAAGAUGACAUUUUCUUAAAGUGGAGUGUAACAGAUGCCAAGGGAACCCCCUUUGGACUUGGAAGUUUCUUGGAGAUAAUCACCAAAGGGAAGAGAAAGGCUACUUAUCCAAGCACUAGUCCAACUUCGCUGUUAGAGAUUCAAGAACAACUCCAGGUUGCUCGUCGUAAGCUCGCUGAUCAAGAUGAAGAAAAUGCUCGACGUGUCAGAGAAGAUGCUAGACGUGAUGAGGAGCAACGUAACGCUCAAAACCGCACUGCAACCUUGGAGAUGCUCGUAUCCUACUUGAAGACCAGUGAUCCCGGGCUUGCAGAAUUCUUGUUUACUCAACCACCAGCCCAUGCGCCAUUCACCUCAGCAGCACCAGCAGUCAACAUCACUCCAGCCACAUCGGCCAAUGUCAACCAACCCACACCAACAACUUCAGGAGCUAGCUCACCAUCUACUUCACCAAUCACUUCACCAGCGACUUCACCAACCACUUCACCUUUGUCAGUAUCAUCCUCUCAUGCUUAACUAACUAAUUAUAUCUCUCUUAAGCCUAUAUAACUAUUUUUUGGAUUGUGCAGUAGUAUUUCUAUCUCCCUUAGCCUAAAACUAUUUUCUGGAUAUGAUCAUUGAAUGAUUUGUAUGUUUUUGGUUAAUAUCAUUCACAUUCGGGAUUUUAAUUUAGAUUCA